rnacentral:sRNA from 1 species
CCAUAGCCCCGAUAGCAGCCGGUAUCCUUUGUGAGGGACGAACAAAGAUAAAGGCGAAUAGCGGGAAUAGCU